AUAUUUAUAUAUAUAUAUAGAGAGAGAGAGAGAGAGAGAGAGAGUGUUCGGCAACUAUACUUUUAAAUAUAGAAAAAUUUUAAAUACUCCCUCUUUGGUUUAACACUUUUUCAUUUUAGUAUUCUGUAGUUUAAAGUAUAUAGAUUUAGUGUCCUGUGGUUUUAUCUUUAUUUUUUUAUUUUUGAUUUUACUAAUUUUUUUCGUUUAUUAGUGAUAAAGUUAAAAUUAAAAAUUGCUAAAGUGAAUAUUCGAUAAAUCUAAAUAGAGUAUUUGAAGUUUUUUUUAUAUAUAAUUUAAUAAAAUAUUAAUAGAUAAGCUGACGAAAAGAUAAAAUUGAAAUCACGGGACACUAACUUGAUACACUGUAAAACACAGGGUAUUAAUAGGAGAAAGUGUGAAACCACAGGGGUGGUAUCUAAAGUUUACCCUUUAAAUAUAGGUCAUUAAUUUUAUACUCAUAAAUUUUCGAUCAUUAAAUCUACCCGUUUAACUAUUUUCACCAAUUAGACCAUACUAUUUAACCAACUAUCAACUCAAUUCUAGAGGACCACUAUCAUCCUCACCAUGGAUCACCAUGAUCAUCAUAAUAUUGCCUGCUUG
rnacentral:lncRNA from 1 species